CUCUCCCCCCCCCCCCCCCUUUCUUCUCUCCAAAGCUUCUUUUUUUCAGGUCUCUUGGAUCCAUAUAUGCUUCUGUUUAUCUUUUCUAGAUCUGGAAGCUCGUUUCCGUGAUUGCUAUGAAAAAGAUUGUGGAUUUGGUUCGAUUUUUCUCAAUUAAUCCGGUUUCGCUGUCGAUUUUCUCGAUCUCCGGGGUGGAACGGUUUCAUUUCAAGGAGUUGUCUGUUAUUUUUUAGUAGAUCUUUGGCCUCUAGGAGUGGGGAGCUCUCUCCAUUCUCUUUUUUACAAUGACUUGACGACGAGAGUUCGGGUUCUAGAAUCUUAUUCUUAUCUUCUUCUGUUGAGACAUUUCAGCUAGAUCUGGUUCUCACUAUCUUCGAUUAGUCCACAAGUUUUUUUUUUCUCGUUGGAUUCAUUCCUCAAACCUUCAUCUCCUUUGUUUUUUCGAUCUGAGUCUUAAAGAACGUAAGGAUAUGAUGCACUUGCACAAAAAGAAUAUGAGCAGGUGAUGGGUUGGGUUUGGUGCUUUGGCCGGGCAUGAUGGGUGACAACGAGAGAGAGCACGCCGGUCGGCAGUCAUGCAGGGUGCCAUGGCUGGGUACUGGCGUGCUCUUUCUCGGUGUCACCUCAGUUCUCCCCACAAAGCAUCUCCUCAAUUCCUUUGGAUCAAAACAUACAUAUGGAGUGUGCUGCCUCUAAGAAGGUGCCCUCUUCGGCAAUCCUUGCAAAAGACAAGUUUAAGACGAAUAGCUCAAAUAAUUUCGAUUCAGCAUCUCUAAACCUUCAAGUCAACAGUGUAAGUUGGAAUGGUUAUUUCAUAUUUUGUUAAGAUCAACACUAAUACAUGAGCAAGCUUUAAGUUUCUAUUUGUUGCACAGUAAUCCAUUAUAAGCAAGCAACAAUCUCCUUAAAUGAACAAAAUCAAGGCAUGGAACUAAAGGAAAUCUAUGCAGAAGAGCUAGGGUCAUGCAUGGAAGUAAGUAGGCUGUCCUAAAAGCUCAAGAAAGUGGAUUUAAAUGACUCAAAUAGGUUACAAUGCGUGUAAAAUGAUGAAAAAGGAAUGCAAAAGAAGGAAGGAUUAAAAAGAAAUAUUAUUUGUAUGGAAGGAUAUGUCAUUAGAGAGAGUGCUUGCAUAGUCUUCCACAUGUUGUGAAAGGACAAAUCUUAAUAUAUCAUGUCUUCAUAAUCUGAAGAGUACUGGGAGAGGAAGGAAUAAAGGUGGUCAGAGAAAAACCCCUUUUUUGUUAUUGUUUUGGAGAAAUGGAUAGCAGCUUGCAUUCUCAAGAAUUCUACAUAACCUUUUCCCUUAGUUGUGUGGCUCUAUAAGUUGUUUUGCAAGACUGCUUAGUAGACUAGGAAUCCCAGAAGGAAUUGGAGGGAAAGUUGUGACAAGACAGAGAAAGAGAGAGAGAAGAGAAACAGGCUCUAACUAAAGGAAGUUGUAGUAGGCUCGUUGCAGUCUUUAUCUGCUUGUAUAUGAGUAAAUGGGAUGUGCGCCUUUUUGAAUUAACUAUUAUAGGAGCUAGUACCAAUCAAUGCUGCAUCAGCCCUUCUGUUCAAGCUAUAUGUCUUGAGCCCUGAGAAUCCUUUUCCAUUUGUUUGGUACUUCACAAUUUACGAAGUUACACCUUGCCCGUUGGCAGUCGCUUAAGUCAUUAUGUGAUGAACCUGUAAUAACCCAAGUGGAUGGGGAAACUGAACAAUGAAGAUAAAAUAAAAAGUAGUUCUUUUUGCAUUUAUAAAUAAAAACCUCGUACCCUCAAUUUUACACUUGUCCUUUAUAUAUUCUAUUAAUUCCCUAUCACCCCAUAUCAUUUAGUUGUUGAGAAUCAUUGUGAGUCCUAGAUUUUCUUGGAGUAAUGUUCAUUUAUUUUGGUAAUCUAUGGUUUACAUUACAAGGAUCCCCAUUACUUUUGGGAUUUAAUAUUGGAGUCCAGGUCUUAGUUAUAUUUUCGUGGGAUAUUGAAUUAGUUACUGGUAGCGUAAUGGUCCAAGUAGGACAUGUUGCCAAGUCGGGUACUCGGCGUUAACUUUUUAAGGAAGUCCAGCUUUCAGUAGGAUAAUAGAGUCCUUAUAGUGGGCAUCCUCUGAAUUGUUAAAAAGAAAGUCUUCUUAUGGUUCUGUGAGAGAUACUAGUGUGUGUCCUAGUAGUGGAGAGGAUCCUGAGGUGUCCUUUGAGUAAAUUUUUUAUAUUUCUCUUUUCAAGUUUAUUUCAAAUCUCCCAUUUUAUGCUUCUUUUGUACAGCUUGUUAUUGGUGCUUGUUCUUGUGUUCCUGAGCAUUGGACAGUCCUCCUAUGUAAGAUCAUGCCAUUCUACACUUGGCUACACAGUAAAUUAACCAGGCUACACCUAGCAUGGUGAUAAUGGAGUCAACGAUGAGGGGAUUAUUGAAGUCAUCAUCAACCCCAGCAUUUUUUUUUGAGGGUAACAUGAAGGAAAACCUCAACAUUAUUUUCAUCACAAAAGAUUGAUUGGGCUUAAUUGCUAAUUAUGGUUAACUUGACCAGCAUUGUUAAAAUAAUUAUGUCCUUAUGUUGCAUUACUAUUCUUAACCACUUCUGUUUCUUUUUCUUGAGCUAUUUAUACCCUAUCUAUUCCACUGUUGUUGCAAUAUGGUGAUCAGAUGUUUGUAAUUCUCCUCUUCACUAUUUAUCCUUAUCCAAGAGCCAUGUCUAGGCUGUCAAUGACUAGAUUGGCCUUCAUUAGGUUGCCAACCAUCACUAGAGAAGGGGGUUGGUCGGGGUAUGCUAUACGGACCUCUAUAGUGUUUAUGCCCAUCAAAUUUUCCCAAUGAGUUUGAUAAGUCUUGGCAAAACAUCGGACCUCUCAUAAUGUCAAACACAAAGAUAUUGACCUCCUUUGAAAAAACUCUAUAAAUUUGAGCAAUUGAUAUUGGAGGUUUGCAUUGGUUGGCGGUAGCAAAAGACUUGGGGCUAGUGUUAAUACUUCCAACAUUUGCAACCCCCUUCUAGAUUGAGAUGAUGGCAAGAUUAUGGUAAUAUGUCAAGUUUCCACCGACAUAUGCACGUAUAUUGGAUGAUCAGAAAUCAAUCACCACAUUGGCAUAGUCUCUAUAGUAUACAGCCGUUGUCUGUCAUAAAUAUCCUAUCUGACCACAUGAAUUAUGUAUCAUAAACAUACAAAUUUUGGAGAAAAAGAAAAAGAAAAAAUCAAUUACUAAAUACAUAUUCCCUUCUACUGGUUUGCAUGUACAUAAUGGUCUUUCUUCUUUUCUUUCUUUUAGCUUCGUAAGGGAGGAAAAUUUUCCUAUUUACAGGUUCAACCUUCUUUCACCUUCUAAUUCUAGUAAUAUGAAAAAUGUGGUCUUGGUUUUUAGGAUCCUUAGCAAAAUCCUGUCUACUCUAUAUAAACUAGCAACCAAAUUAUCCAAUUAUGUCUCAGCAAAACAUAUGCGUUAAAAUGGACCCUAGAAACAAAGAGAAAUCGUAAAUAAGUUCAAGUCACUGGUAGUAUUAUAUACCAAUUCUGGUCACUUGAAAUAAUGAAUGAUAAUUGUGACAUUUUAAGAUUUUCAGUGUUGUAGGAAUAAAUGAAGAGAAGAGACAAACUGACAUGAAGAAAAAAUGGAAUCUACCCAAGAGAAAUAAGGAAUCAAUUGUGUUUUCAGCUAGUAAACUUGCUUUGAAAUAAGAUGCUAGAAAAAUAAAAAAACCUAUAUAUGCUACAAUAUACUGUAAAUCAAAUAUGACCACUUGAAAUAAGGAAUGAGAAUCAUGACAUAUCCUUACCACAGGUCUGCAACUGGGAGUACCAUUUAAGAAGGCAACUCUUUGGUUUCGUCCAACUGUGAACCUUAUUCAAAUUGAAGUUGUAUCAGGCCAUUACCCCUUGUGUUAAUUCCUUAAUGCUCUCCAAGCUUCUAUUUAGGUGUCUAUAUUUGACCUGUCUUGUUCUUUUUGAGCUCAUCUACUAUGACUGAUCUUCUAUUUAGAUAAUCCCAUUUUCUAGCGUGAAGUUCUUGUUCGUUUUAAAUUUUUUUAGCAGAUGGCGGCUUACCACAAAAGAAAAUGAGGUCAUAUGUAACCUAGAGUGCAAGAUUACAGGUACCAGGACUCGGCGAAUCAUGGCACAUGAAAGAGAUCAGUUCAAAAUUUUGUGUGGCAGCUCUGAAGUGCUCUAAGUAACAUGGUUUCUACAAUUUGAGGUUUAUUUCAUAUGGCUUGAGGUGGCAGAUUAUAGAAAAUAAAUAUCAAAUCUGAUUUGGGCAUAUGCUUCUUGGAGCUUACUAUUGCUCUUGGUGUUAACAAAAAAAGAAUGCCUCGACUCUGCCAUUGAGGUAGAGAUAGCUUUAUGAACAAUAAAAACAACAACAUUCAUAUUUUGAUAGACUCUAAAAGAAAGGGGUUGAAAAGCUCUCUAGAUUUAUAAUUCAGAGACCGAUUCAGAUUAACUUGGUGCUGGAGACCAAGAAUGAGCAGUUUUCUGAUGGUUUACUCUUGCUGAUCGACUUUUUAUUGUUGCUGAUGCCAUAGGUGUUAUUAUGCUUUGUCUUCUCUUUCAGCUGAUAGUUUGAGGAGCUGGAUCACUUUGUUUCUCUUUAUUUCGCAUCUAUGCUGUCUUGCCACUGUUGCAUGAAGUACCAUGUCUAUUAGUGAAACAUCUUAUAAAUGUACAAGUGGAGUGGCCAUGGUUUUGUUUGAGAAUUCUGUUGAAUAAGCUUAAUAGAAUAUCUUUUAUGUUCAUUAAGAUCAGAUGGGAGACUAUGGUAUAUACUGCAAGUUUUUUGCAGGGGGUAAAAGGAGGUAACAAAUGGACAUGAGAGACAAGAUCCAAAGUAAUGUGUCCACUUUUGGCAACAGAUGGGAACUAGUAGGUUUGCUCAUCUUAUCCACCCAGAAAUUCAAGGCUUGUGUAAAUUAGGAGGUUAAGUAUAAAUGGAACUGAAAUUCUUUUAUUAUGAAAUUCUUAUUUGUGCCCA